AGUAACACGUGGGCAACCUGCCUAUAAGACUGGGAUAACUUCGGGAAAGUGAGCUAAUACCGGAUACGUUCUUUUCUCGCAUGAGAGAAGAUGGAAAGACGGUUUACGCUGUCACUUAUAGAUGGGCCCGCGGCGCAUUAGCUAGUUGGUGAGGUAAUGGCUCACCAAGCGACGAUGCGUAGCCGACCUGAGAGGUGACCGGCCACACUGGGACUGAGACACGGCCCAGACUCCUACGGGAGGCAGCAGUAGGGAAUCUUCCGCAAUGGACGAAAGUCUGACGGAGCAACGCCGCGUGAACGAAGAAGGCCUUCGGGUCGUAAAGUUCUGUUGUUAGGGAAGAACAAGUACCAGAGUAACUGCUGGUACCUUGACGGUACCUAACCAGAAAGCCACGGCUAACUACGUGCCAGCAGCCGCGGUAAUACGUAGGUGGCAAGCGUGUCCGGAAUUAUUGGGCGUAAAGCGCGCGCAGUGGUUCCUUAAGUCUGAUGUGAAAGCCCACGGCUCAACCGUGGAGGGUCAUUGGAAACUGGGGAACUUGAGUGCAGAAGAGGAAAGUGGAAUUCCAAGUGUAGCGGUGAAAUGCGUAGAGAUUUGGAGGAACACCAGUGGCGAAGGCGACUUUCUGGUCUGUAACUGACACUGAGGCGCGAAAGCGUGGGGAGCAAACAGGAUUAGAUACCUGGUAGUCCACGCCGUAAACGAUGA
rnacentral:rRNA from 1 species